CAAGAGCGUAUAUUAAAGUUGUUGCAGUUAAAAAGCUCGUAGUUGGAUUUCUGGUACAACGCGCCUGGCCCGCUUUUGUGAGUGCCGGUGCGCGUUUGCCAUCCUUCUAGAAAACGUUUCUACCCGGGUAACUGGGCCGGACUCGCGAUCUAGAUCUUUUACUUUGAGGAAAUUAGAGUGUUUCAAGCAGGCAUACGCCUUGAAUACAUUAGCAUGGAAUAAUAAGAUAGGACCUCGGUUCUAUUUUGUUGGUUUCUAGUACUGAAGUAAUGAUUGAUAGGGAUAGUUGGGGGUGCUAGUAUUGACCGGCCAGAGGUGAAAUUCUUGGAUUCGGUCAAGACUAACUUAUGCGAAAGCAUUCACCAAGGAUGUCUUCUUUAAUCAAGAACGAAAGUUGGGGGAUCGAAGACGAUCAGAUACCAU
rnacentral:rRNA from 1 species